UACGUAGGUGGCAAGCGUUGUCCGGAAUUAUUGGGCGUAAAGCGCGCGCAGGCGGUCCUUUAAGUCUGAUGUGAAAGCCCACGGCUCAACCGUGGAGGGUCAUUGGAAACUGGGGGACUUGAGUACAGAAGAGGAAAGCGGAAUUCCACGGUGUAGCGGUGAAAUGCGUAGAGAUGUGGAGGAACACCAGUGGCGAAGGCGGCUUUCUGGUCUGUAACUGACGCUGGAGGCGCGAAAGCGUGGGGAGCAAACAGGA
rnacentral:rRNA from 1 species